CCUACGGGUGGCACCAGUGGGGAAUAUUGCACAAUGGGCGCAAGCCUGAUGCAGCCAUGCCGCGUGUAUGAAGAAGGCCUUCGGGUUGUAAAGUACUUUCAGCGAGGAGGAAGGCAUUAAGGUUAAUAACCUUGGUGAUUGACGUUACUCGCAGAAGAAGCACCGGCUAACUCCGUGCCAGCAGCCGCGGUAAUACGGAGGGUGCAAGCGUUAAUCGGAAUUACUGGGCGUAAAGCGCACGCAGGCGGUCUGUCAAGUCGGAUGUGAAAUCCGCGGGCUCAACCUGGGAACUGCAUUCGAAACUGGCAGGCUAGAGUCUUGUAGAGGGGGGUAGAAUUCCAGGUGUAGCGGUGAAAUGCGUAGAGAUCUGGAGGAAUACCGGUGGCGAAGGCGGCCCCCUGGACAAAGACUGACGCUCAGGUGCGAAAGAGUGGGGAGCAACAAGGAUUAGAUACCAUCGUAGUC
rnacentral:rRNA from 1 species